ACCAACUGAAUUUGGAAGAAAAGCUCCACCUCCAGAUACCGAAAUUGUAGAAGAUGAAAAUGUCUGAUUUCAAAAAAAAAAAUUCGAUUUAGGAAUAUCAAAGAUACAUAAGCUUAUGUUUCAUUACGAAAUGCAUUAGUUGAUCAUUUGUUAGAAAAAAAUUCUAAUGUCAUUAUUAGAAAGAGGGUUCUGGUUACAAUACAACGCAAGAAACU
rnacentral:lncRNA from 1 species